rnacentral:misc_RNA from 1 species
CGAACCGGAUGAAGAUUCGGUUUAGUUUAACAUCACAACUUAGAAUUAUCAAAACCGAUAAAAAUCGCUAUAAUUGGCAGCAUAAACGGUCCGGUUCACAACAAGUAUUCAAUUCUUUCUUUUUUUUUGAAAUUAAACCGAACCGAAUGAAGAUACGAGUCGAUUUUCCAUUAAAAAUUGAUAUUAUCGCAACCAGUGAGAAUCACUACAACUGCUCGGAGAAACAAUCAGGUUUACCACAUUUUUUUCUGCUUUUUUUUUCUUUAAGUAUUAAAUUUUUUUCAACUGUAAUUAUUAUAUUUUUAUAACCUUUACGAAUUAUAUUUUUAAUUAAUGUAAAAUUUUUUAUUCAACUUAAUAAACUAUUAUAUUGUCUAUAAAAAAUUACAAUUUAAUUAAUACACAAUUUAUUUUAGGCCAUAAUUUAUAUUUU